UUUAUAUGGACUUGGACGGCUAGGAACAUUGAUAGUGACGAAGAAAAAACGAACUGUUCAUCUUUUAUGGAUCUCUAUCUCCAUAAACCCAGCCAUUGACAUCACCGAGAAGAUUCAUUCGGAGUUGAAAUUAAAUCGAUUAAUCUCCAAAAGGAGAGAUGCAUCAGGAUGGGAAUCACAAGGAACAAAGGAAGGUGCAUGUUAUGGUUUAGGAAGGUGUUACGAUUUCUGAACAGAUUUCAGUGAAUGUAUGUCCAAUUGUAGGGAACCUGAAGAUUCUGCUCUUCUUAGAGAAGAUUAUCCUGAGUGUCUUCAUCGUGCUAAAGAGGGUAUUAGGUUUACGAUUUCUGGACAGAUUUCAGUGAAUGAAACGAGAGCACUCAGAGCAGGGUGUAUGUUAUAUUGAACUGACACGAUAGUCCAAAACCGAACUUACUAGAGGAGGAAGAGAUGCAUCAGUUAUAGAUUUGAGAAAGGCCCCAAACUUGUGUGAAUACCCAAAAGGGAAAGAUGUGAAGAAUUAAGGAACUCCUUGCAUGAGGUACAAUUAGCCUCUGUACUACAGCUGCAUCAAGGGUAUUCGUCGAUCUGGAAUUCUUGAUGUUCAGCCAGCGCACGAUUUUAGUACAAUGUAAAUCAAAAGUGUUUUUCCAGGCUAAAUAUUCUCGAAUGCAACAACAAAGCGAUCUGAUGCAGACUCAAUGUUGAUCUUGGAUUUAAGAACAAAUGAAGAUAGAGGGAGCGGAAGCGGGAGAUAGUAGAGAAACUCUAGCACGAUAAUUAAUUAGAGUUUUUAAUUGUGCUCUUCAAAUGUUUGUCAAAAUAGCUUGAAAGGAGUUUCCUGAUGAUCUAAGCCAGAAGAGUAAUAAGGUUUUUGCUUGGUGAUUUUCUUACAGUAAAUAUCCACAACAUCAAUUCUUGCGGUAAAUUAGCAAGGUGAACAUUUUAUUUUAUUUGUAUAGUAAUCAUUGUGAAAAUGAAACGUUAAAAAGUAAUUUGUGUCGAAUGCUUAUGCUUAACUAGCCAAUUUUACAAUUAGCUAUGAGUGUUUUCUUGCCACUAUGAAUGUAUUUGUGCCGAAUGAUGAUGAUUGCGAUCAGCUGUCCCUACUUUUGGGGUAUAAUGAGCAGGCAAAACCAUGGCAGAUGGUGUACCUCCAUAGUCCAUACCGCCCUUUUGGAGCCACAAGCAUUAGAUCUUAUGUUUCUUCUUUCGGGGAUCAAUUUGAUGAAAAUAGUAUGUAUUAGAACUCUCAUGUGGACGUGUAUUUAAAAAUGGAUUGUAUAUCCUGUGACUACAAGAUGCUGAAGCAAAAUAAUUCACUUAUAUGUUCGACAUGAAAACAGAAGCUACUAGGUUGCAAUUGAUUUAAGACUCGCUUUAAUAGGUUUACUUUUAUUGGUCCCUUGAUACAAAGCCAUGAAACUGGGUCCUGGCCAUUUCAGACAUCCAAUUUAAGUUUGAAAGGUGAAGACAACUGGGAAGACAGUAAGAAGUCCCCAUAUUACUGUUUCUAAUUAUUCCUUAUAUUUUUCAGCUGAAAUUUAGCCUUUAGUCCUUUAUGUUACUCAAUGUUACAUGCACAUUCAUAUACAAGCAGGAAUUCUCAAAUGUCCGAUUUCUUACCAAUCUGUGAGUUGCAGGGUAUGCAUGUAGAUGUUAUUGCAGGGUGCUAAUUCCAACAAUCCAAUUCCAUCAUUGCUGGACUGUGAUUGCUGAUGCCGAGUUGUAUUCCGGGCAUUCAAUUAUAAGGUAAGUAUUUAUCAAUUCUUUUUGUAGUCUGAGUCAUAUUUAUCACGGGUUGGGUUGUCUAAUACUUUAUACCGUACAUGUGUCUGAUUAUCUCUGUAUGUCACAGAUAGAUACAAAUAUACUCAUCACUAAAGGGAAUUUGAGGGUCCAGCUCACUAGCUGGGAGUACAGCCCCACACUUCAAUUAUUCAUCAUUAAGUAUCUACUUUAGCCCUCCCAAGUUAGAAUUUUGGAACUCCCGGGUGGACUGAUUUGCAAAUAGUCACUUUACAUUGCCACAUACCGCAAAUGCUAUAUAUUGUAUUCAUUCAGUUAGUAGAUGUACUAUUUAGCAAGUUCAUUUAAAGAAUGAUGUUUGAUCCAUCGUUGAGGGGUAUUAAAAUGAAGGUAGUGUCAUGUACAUACGUUACCCCGGAAAUCAUAAUUCAACCGACUGCUCCAGCUGUUUUCAGCUAAAUUUUAUGUCAGAAGCUUGAUUGGCAGUGCAUCUGAAAUUUGAAGUGCAUCUGCAAUUUUUGUAACAUCUUAGCUGGGAGAUUUUUGCGGGUGGUACAAUAUGAAGUGAUAAUUAAAUGCUUAAGGUCAACUUGUUUUGCCAUUUAUUUGUUCAAAAUUUUGAUUUGUUAUGUUAAUGUAGAGAUUGGAGCUAAGGCUUUUAAAUUGGCAGAACUCUAACUGAGAUUAUGUUUACAUUUUGGUUUCGGAUAUUACUGCAAUUUGUACCUCCUAAUUAGUGGUAAAACUCUUUCAACCUCUGGGCAGAACGCUGUCGCAAUGGUAGCUCCAAAUGUUGAAUCUGUCGAAACACUGAUAGCAUGGCAGCCAUAAAAACUUCUUUACAGAUAGCUCUUAUCUGCGGGCAACCUAUCUUCUUCUCUUCAUUGACUAAACUUAACUUUCACAAAAGUUUGUAGUGAGCUAUACUUCAAAGAAUUGGGUGAAGUUAUUAAUGUUUCAAAGGGCAUGUUACUGUUGAGUUUGCGACAGACGAAGUAGUGUAGAAGGCAAGGUUUCUUAUCUGGAACACCUUAGUUGAGGUUUUUGACAGUACCUCCAGUGAUUUGGUUAGGCUGAAGCAAAGAGGUAAAGGAACGCAUAACCUAACAGGUGUAUCUAGCAUCUGACGGGCAGUAGAACUCUAAGAGAUAAAUCUGCUUAAAGUUUCAAAGGAAAGUGAAAAUGACUUCAAACAAUGCCUUGCUCAGUCAGAAUUUAAUAAAGACGUAACAGCACAGUAUGUGGUUUAAGCUUAGAUUAUAAAGAGCUCAACGACCACAAAUGAGAGUCUCCAUUUGCAUCUCCAUUUGCAAUUGGAGCACUAAUGAUUGCCAGUGUGUACACCAUGGGUAAUUUCUUACUGAAGGAGUAUGACUUACACGGAUCAAGAAGCUCAGAUACAAACUAUCCUUAGUGAUAAUAGUUAAGUGUACAACAAGAGGAGAUGCAAGGGUCACUUGAAGCACGUCCAGAUUAGGUGGUUGAUUUGCUGGAUGAUAAUUAUCUCUCAACUUUCUGUUGUUUCUUCUUCUCCAUUUUUCGAUUUUUAACCUUGCCGUGUCAAUAGAUAAUGAAUUUGUUUUAAGAAUUCCUCUUUAACCGUAACUAUUUACUGUUACAACUCUGUACAGUUCAAUGGAAAAGACUAAGGCCACUUCUUUUUGCA